AUAUAAGCUGAGCUACCAUAGAAGUAAAUUUGUUUGGUAGUGGGAAGCCUUAUUGUUUCCACUUAUGCUACCGUUGUUGUUAAAGUCCUAAUUGAGAACUCUGAGUUUCUGCUCAAUUAAAGGACUUUUGAUUACUUUUCUUGUCUUGGGUCCCAAUUGUCUCUUUCACUAUGGAUCAGGGGAUUAAAAACAUUGCAUUGCACUCAAAUAACCGUUUGGAUUUCAAGCUCAUCUUAUCCCACAAGCAUCAUCACUUUUCAGAAAAACUGGAUAGACUCAUUGACUCGGAGGGAAAAGGAAGCGGGGGCUAACGCUUGCUUUUGGGCUUGUUCAUUGACUGUGGGUGUGUGGGCACUUGCAGAUUAAAAAUAAAACGAUGGUAAAAGUUCA